AUCCCACUAAUAGAACAUGAUAAGAUCAAAUUUUAUACUUUCAAGCAAGCCAUUACUUUCAUUGGCACUUGUUUUAUUGCCCCUUCAGCUUCUCCUAAUAUUUGUCCAGUUUUUUUUAUCUUAUAAACACCUAAUUUUAAUUUAGUAAGUGCAACUACGAGUUAUUCAAAUUUGAACAAUCUUACGAGAAUAAUAGAGCACAUUGUCAUAUGCACCUAGCUAAUUAAGAUAUUGCCUCCAAAUUAAAAGAUCAUCAAUCUUUCUGGAUUCAUUACAUCAAUAUUCUCC
rnacentral:lncRNA from 1 species